UACGUAGGGUGCAAGCGUUGUUCGGAUUUACUGGGCGUAAAGCGCACGUAGGCGGAUCGUUAAGUCGGGGGUGAAAUCCUGGAGCUCAACUCCAGAACUGCCUUCGAUACUGGCGAUCUUGAGUCCGGAAGAGGUGAGUGGAACUCCUAGUGUAGAGGUGGAAUUCGUAGAUAUUAGGAAGAACACCAGUGGCGAAGGCGGCUCACUGGUCCGGUACUGACGCUGAGGUGCGAAAGCGUGGGGAGCAAACAGG
rnacentral:rRNA from 1 species